rnacentral:rRNA from 1 species
AAUGAACGUUGGCGGCGUGGAUUAGGCAUGCAAGUCGUACGGGUCGGUGUAGCAAUACAACGGCAAGUGGCGAAAGGGAGAGUAACACGUAGAUACCUACCCUCUGGUCGGGGAUACCGCGGCAUAACCGCAAGUAAUACCCGAUAAAAUCUCCGGAUCAAAGGUGUGAUUCCGCCGGAGGAGGGGUCUGCGUUCUAUCAGCUUGUUGGUGAGGUAAUGGCUCACCAAGGCUAAGACGGAUACGGGGUGUGAGAGCAUGCCCCCGCUCACUGGGACUGAGACACUGCCCAGACACCUACGGGUGGCUGCGGUCGAGAAUCGUCGGCAAUGGGCGCAAGCCUGACCGAGCGACGCCGCGUGCGGGAUGAAGGCCUUCGGGUUGUAAACCGCUGUCGAGGGGAAUGAAGUGUAGGUGGGUACUCCCAUCUAUUUGACAGAUCCCUGGAGGAAGCAUGGGCUAAGUUCGUGCCAGCCGCCGCGGUAAUAC